UGAAAAGAAACUUUGGAAGAGAGUUAAAAGCACGUGAAGCCGUUGAAAGGGAAACGCGCUCGGCUAGCAAUGUGCCACGACGGUUCAGCCGUCUUGGGCGGCGAGGUGGCGGCUGUUGGAUCCGAAUGGACCGCUGUUGUCAUCGUCGUCGUCCGAGAUGCGGUGCACUCUUUCGUGGUACGCGUCAGCGUCGGUUUGCGGCGGGCGACAAGGCUCUGCGGAAGGUAGCUCGGAGCUUGCUUCGAGUGUUAUAGACGUAGAUGCUGGGUCCGCCGCAGACCGAGGAGAGAGAGUAUCGUUGCAGCGCAUGCCGCAAGGCUAGCUACCUGUUGUCCGGCACGCUUCACGAACUGAGGACUGCACGCAGUGCUUGGGUCGGCGGAGUGGUCUGAUGGUGGUGUGGUAUAAAUGCGCUCAGGACGCUGGCGUCCAAAUGGCCGUGCGCGACCCGUCUUGAAAACAC
rnacentral:rRNA from 1 species